rnacentral:lncRNA from 1 species
CCAAAAUUUUUUUGAACUAAACAAGGCAUAAAAAGAUAAAACCGCCUUUGAAAACCGCUUAUAACUGGUCAGGGAGGUAAAACAAACGAUUUUAAAGGUUUAGGGAGGUUAUUUAUCCAUUUUUAGAGUUUAAGAAAUAAAAAUAGACUUGUACAAAAAUUAAGAGAGGUAAUGUGAACUUUUUUAAGCAUUGUUGAUUAUGCGAUGUGUCAGGCGGCCGUCCGCAUGCGUGUGCGCUAGAAAACAAAACAGCAAAAGGCCGCAGAUCACAAGGCCACAAGAAGGGCUUGCUUUGUGGGCUGUGAGUUUUUUAUUUUUUCUUUUUUAAGUUGAAGCACUUGAUCAUCAUCACCACAUGUGGCUAUCUCUAUCACUUGGAGUGUCAUCUAACUCCAUCACUUGGAGACCGAUCUAUCUCAUAUGUCAAUUAGAGCAAAAGGUUAGUACACUAAGAUUUUAUCAAUUAUCUACAACAAAACUAGUCUUGAGCGUGCCAGUAUACAUAAGUAUAUAGAGUAAGCAAAAGAGAUAACAAACUCAGGGAACUCGUAGUUUUAUUAGUUUUAUUAGGGCAGUCUCAAUAUAUAGUUUCUAGUAUAGUUUCUAAGAACAAUAAAUUUUAAUUUACACCUAACCUCUCUAAUGCAUAGUUUCUGCAUGCAGUUUCUAUAGAGAGAAAAAAAUAAUGAACACUUAAAUACAACACAAACAAACAACGAUCACCUGUGCACAACAACUUGUAGCCUUUUCUAAUGCAC